rnacentral:rRNA from 1 species
GACGAACGCUGGCGGCGUGCUUAACACAUGCAAGUCGAACGGAAAGGCCCUGCUUUUGUGGGGUGCUCGAGUGGCGAACGGGUGAGUAACACGUGAGUAACCUGCCCUUGACUUUGGGAUAACUUCAGGAAACUGGGGCUAAUACCGGAUAGGAGCUCCUGCUGCAUGGUGGGGGUUGGAAAGUUUCGGCGGUUGGGGAUGGACUCGCGGCUUAUCAGCUUGUUGGUGGGGUAGUGGCUUACCAAGGCUUUGACGGGUAGCCGGCCUGAAAGGGUGACCGGCCAAAUUGGGACGGAGAUACGGCCCAGACUCCUACGGGAGGCAGCAGUGGGGAAUAUUGCACAAUGGGCGGAAGCCUGAUGCAGCAACGCCGCGUGCGGGAUGACGGCCUUCGGGUUGUAAACCGCUUUCGCCUGUGACGAAGCGUGAGUGACGGUAAUGGGUAAAGAAGCACCGGCUAACUACGUG